UACGGAGGGUGCAAGCGUUGUUCGGAAUUACUGGGCGUAAAGCGUGUCAAGGUGGGUGCGUAAGUCAGACGUGAAAGCCCCCGGCUCAACCGGGGAGGGCCGUUUGAAACUGCGCAUCUUGAGUCCCGGAGAGGUGAGUGGAAUUCCCAGUGGAGAGGUGAAAUUCGUAGAGAUUGGGAGGAACACCAGAGGCGAAAGCGAUUCACUGGCCGGGCACUGACACUCACACACGAGAGCGUGGGUAGCAAACAGG
rnacentral:rRNA from 1 species